rnacentral:rRNA from 1 species
GAUGAACGCUGGCGGCGUGCCUAAUACAUGCAAGUCGAGCGAACAGAUGAGGAUCUUGCUCCUCUGACGUUUGCGGCGGACGGGUGAGUAACGCGUGGAUACCCUACCUAUCAGACUGGGAACACUUCGAGAAUCCGGCUCUAAUACCGGAUGAUCUCUUGCACCGCAUUGUUCAAUAGUGAAAUUCGGCUUUGCUGUCACUUAUAGAUGGAUCCGGGCCGAAUUAGCUAGUUGGUAGGGUCACGGGUUACCACGGCAACGAUGCGUAGCCGACCUGAGAGGGUGGUCGGCGACACUGGAACGGAGACACGGUCCAGAGGCCUGAGGGAGGCAGCAGUAGGGAACGUGCCGCAAUGGGCGAAAGCCUGACGGAGCAACGCCGCGUGAGUGAUGAAGGUCUCCGGAGCGGAAAACUCGGUUAUGAGGGAAGAACAAAUGUGUAAGUAACUAUGCACGUCUUGACGGUACCUAGUCAGAAAGCAACGGCUAACUACGUG